rnacentral:rRNA from 1 species
UUGAACGCUGGCGGCAGGCCUAACACAUGCAAGUCGAACGGUAACAGGAAGCAGCUUGCUGCUUUGCUGACGAGUGGCGGACGGGUGAGUAAUGUCUGGGAAACUGCCUGAUGGAGGGGGAUAACUACUGGAAACGGUAGCUAAUACCGCAUAACGUCGCAAGACCAAAGAGGGGGACCUUCGGGCCUCUUGCCAUCGGAUGUGCCCAGAUGGGAUUAGCUAGUAGGUGGGGUAACGGCUCACCUAGGCGACGAUCCCUAGCUGGUCUGAGAGGAUGACCAGCCACACUGGAACUGAGACACGGUCCAGACUCCUACGGGAGGCAGCAGUGGGGAAUAUUGCACAAUGGGCUCAAGCCUGAUGCAGCCAUGCCGCGUGUAUGAAGAAGGCCUUCGGGUUGUAAAGUACUUUCAGCGGGGAGGAAGGGAGUAAAGUUAAUACCUUUGCUCAUUGACGUUACCCGCAGAAGAAGCACCGGCUAACUCCGUG